ensembl:lncRNA
ACCUGAGUCGGUGGAGGGAUUCCGGGGCGCUGCUAUGGAGGGGUGUAGCGAGCCACAGCUGGAUGCUAAGGCCAAGGUCACCAACCAGGUGAGUGAGUGGCCAUCCCUCGCGGCCUCCGCCGGCCUCGGCUGGACAAGUGGCGGGCGGCUGCACCUGGUCCUCCGCCCGCCUCUGGCAGCCGCGGGACGAUGCCACCGUGAGCCUUCCCCAGCUCAACCCCAAAUCAAGGCCCAUGUCCGUGAGCCCGUGACUUUCCUCCCGCCACCCUGCAUUGCUCCUUCCACUUGGCUUCUGAGCUAAUAGAUUUUCAGUGGAAGCUGGGUGUGGCUGUGAGCUCAGACAGCUGCAGAUCACUUAAGUAUCCUUACGUUGCAGUGAUGCUCAAAGUGGCAGAUCAUUCAGGCCAAGUAAAGAACAAGUCCUUCGAAAUGACAAUUCCACAGUUUCAGAAUUUCUACAGACAGUUCAAGGAAAUUGCUGCAGUUAUUGAAACUGUGUGAAAACUGAUUACUUUGUUGAUGAAUUGCUACCAUCAUUCUAAAAUCAUGGACUUUACUUUCUGCAACAAAACUGCCUAAGGAUCAAAUGAUAUUUAUUGAAUGAAAAUUAUACUUUUGAUUUUCCAUUUUUUUAAAUAAUAAAAAAGAAAAUCAGACAAACAGGAAUUACAAAGUGGUGAUCGCUGCACACUUUGUGAAUAUACUAAGAGCCACUGAAUUGGAAACUUUAAAGGGUGAAGAACUCUGUGGUAUGUGAAUUAUAUCUUAAUGAAAAAUAAAUCAGACAAACAGUUGAAUGAUAUUAAAAGCAGCACAAGUUUAUGUAUUAGACCAAUAGUUUUAAAAAUUACUGGUAAUAUUACCCAUUUUAUAAACAAGCUCUUCCUUUUUAGCAUUCAUUUUUUUAUUGAUGUAUAGUUGAUUUACAAUAUUAUAUUAGUUUCAGAUGUACAACAUGGUAAUUCAAACUUUUUAGAGAUUAUACUCCAUUUAUGGUUAUUAUAAAGUAUUGGCUAUAUUCUUUGUGCUGUGCUGUACAAUGUAUCCUUGUAGCUUAUUUAUUUCUUUAUUACUUUUUUUAAAAAAUUAUUUAUUUAUUUUAUUUUAUUUUUGGCUGUGGUGGGUCUUCGUUGCUGCACGUGGGCUUUUCUCUAGUUGCGGUGAGUGGGGGCUCCUCUUCGUUGUGUGGGCUUCUUGUUGCGGUGGCUUCUCUAGUUGCAGAGCCCAGGCUCUAGGUGCUCAGGCUUCAGUAGUUGUGGCACUCGGGCUCAGUAGUUGUGGCACACGGGCUUAAUUUCUCCACAGCAUGUGGGAUCUUCCCGGACCAGGGCUCGAACCCGUGUCCUCUGCAUUGGCAGGUGGAUUUUUAACCACUGUUCCACCAAGGAAGCCCCAAUAGUCUUUAUUUUAAAGUCUAUUUUAUCUGAUACGAGUGUUGCUACUCCAGCUUUCUUUUGAUUUCCAUUUGCAUGGAAUGUCUUUUUCCAUCCCUUCACUUUCAGUCUGUAUGUGUUCCAAGGUCUGAAGUGGGUCUCUUGUAGACAGCAUAUAUAGAGGUCUUUUUUUUGUAUCCAUUCAGCCAGUCUGUGUCUUUUGGUUGGGGCAUUUAAUCCAUUUACAUUCAAGGUUAUUAUCAAUACGUAUGUUCCUAUUACCAUUUUCUUAAUUGUUUUGGGUUUGUUUUUGUGGGUCCUUUUCUUUUCUUGCAUUUCCUGCCUAGAGAAGUUUCUUUACCAUUUGUUGUAAAGCUGGUUUUGUGGUGCUGAAUUCUCUUAGCUUUUGCUUGUCUGAAAAGCUUUUGACUUCUCCAUCGAAACUGAAUGAGAUCCUUGCUGGGUAGAGUAAUCUUGGUUGUAGGUUUCUCUUUCAUCACUUUAAGUAUAUUCUGCCACUCCCUUCUGGCCGGCAGAGUUUCUGCUGAAAAAUCAGCUGAUAACCUUAUGGGGAUUCCUUUGUAUGUUAUUUUUUGUUUUUCCCUUGCUGCUUUUAAUAUUUUUUUCUUGAAUUUAAUUUUUGUUAGUUUGAUUAAUAUGUGUCCUGGUGUGUUUUUCCUAGGGUUUAUCCUGUAUGGGAGUCUCUUUUUCCUGGACUUAGGUGACUAUUUCCUUUCCCAUGUUAGGGAAGUUUUCGACUAUAAUCUCUUCAAAUAUUUUCUUAGACCCUUUCUUUUUCUCUUCUUCUUCUGGGACCCCUAUAAUUCGAAUGUUGAUGCGUUUAGUGUUGUCCCAGAAGUCUCUGAGACUGUCUUCAAUUCUUUUCAUUCUUUUUUCUUUAUUCUGCUCCUUGGCAGUUAUUUCCACCGUUUUGUCUUCCAGCUCACUUAUUUGUUCUUCUGCCUCAGUUACUCUGUUAUUGAUUCCUUCUAGUGUAUUUUUAUUUCAGUUAUUGUGCUGUUCAUCUGUUUGUUUGUUCUUUAGUUCUUCUAGAUCUUUGUUAAACAUUUCUUCUAUGUUCUCAAUCUAUGCCUCCAUUCUGUUUCCGAGAUUCUGGACCAUCUUACUGUCAUUACUCUGAAUUCUUUUUCAGGUAGGUUGCCUAUUUCCUGUUCAUUUAUUUGGUCUUGUAGGUUUUUACCUUGCUCCUUCAUCUGUGACAUAUUAUUUUGCUGUCUCAUUUUCUUUUUUUUUUUUAAUGAGUGGGAUUGUGUUCCUGUCUUACUGGUUGUUUGGCCUCAGGCUUCCAACACUGGAAUUUUUAGGCUGUUGAGUAGAGCUGGGUCUUGGUACUGAGAUGAGGAACUCCGUGAGACCUCACUCCAUUGAAUAUUCCCUGGGGUCUUUCUGUUAGUUCAGUGGUUCAGACUUGGAGCUCCCACUGCAGGAGCUUUGGCCCAACCCCCCGGCUCAUGAACCAAGAUCCCUCAAUGUGCAUGGGGUGG